rnacentral:rRNA from 1 species
UAUCAAUAAGCGGAGGAAAAGAAACCAACAGGGAUUGCCUCAGUAACGGCGAGUGAAGCGGCAACAGCUCAAAUUUGAAAUCUGGUUCCUUCCAGGGGCCCGAGUUGUAAUUUGUAGAGGAUGUCUUCGGGUCUGGCCCCGGCCUAAGUUCCUUGGAACAGGACGUCACAGAGGGUGAGAAUCCCGUAUGUGGCUGGAGGUCUAUUCCCAUGUGAAGCUCCUUCGACGAGUCGAGUUGUUUGGGAAUGCAGCUCAAAAUGGGUGGUAAGUUUCAUCUAAAGCUAAAUACUGGCGGGAGACCGAUAGCGCACAAGUAGAGUGAUCGAAAGAUGAAAAGCACUUUGGAAAGAGAGUUAAAAAGUACGUGAAAUUGUUGAAAGGGAAGCGCUUGCGACCAGACUUGCCCUCAGUUGAUCAACCGGGGAUAAACUCCGGUGCACUCUGCUGAGGUCAGGCCAGCAUCGGUUUAGGCGGUUGGAGAAAGGCCUUGGGAAUGUGGCUCCUUCCGGGGAGUGUUAUAGCCCAUGGUGCCAUGCGACCAGCCUGGACCGAGGACCGCGCCUUAGUGCUAGGAUGCUGGCGUAAUGGUCGUAAGCGACCCGUCUUGAAACACGGACCAAGGAGUCUAACAUCUAUGCGAGUGUUUGGGUGUAAAACCCACACGCGUAAUGAAAGUGAACGGAGGUGGGAACCCUUGAGGGUGCACCAUCGACCGAUCCUGAUGUCUUCGGAUGGAUUUGAGUAAGAGCAUAGCUGUUGGGACCCGAAAGAUGGUGAACUAUGCCUGAAUAGGGUGAAGCCAGAGGAAACUCUGGUGGAGGCUCGCAGCGGUUCUGACGUGCAAAUCGAUCGUCAAAUUUGGGUAUAGGGGCGAAAGACUAAUCGAACCAUCUAGUAGCUGGUUCCUGCCGAAGUUUCCCUCAGG